rnacentral:piRNA from 1 species
UGCAUCCGGUGCACACUUAUGACGGGGU